GUGAAUCAUCGAAUCUUUGAACGCAAAUUGCACUCUCCGGUUUUCCGGGAAGUUAUGCCUGUUUGAGGGUCAUCCUAAAAAAAAUCGACAUUGUGGCUGUUUUAUGGUUACUUUCUUCGGAGAUGGGUUAUCUUAAAUCUCUGUUGAAGCGACUUAAAAAUUUUUUUUACGAUUCUAAUAUUGUUUCUAAGCUUUUUCUUGUGCUUUUAAAUUAUCUAAUGUCUUAUUAGACGUUGCUGUCAUAUCGGAUCGUUUCCAU
rnacentral:misc_RNA from 1 species